rnacentral:rRNA from 1 species
GAUGAACGCUGGCGGCGUGCCUAAUACAUGCAAGUCGAGCGAACAGACGAGGAGCUUGCUCCUCUGACGUUAGCGGCGGACGUGUGAGUAACACGUGGAUAACCUACCUAUAAGACUGGGAUAACUUCGGGAAACCGGAGCUAAUACCGGAUAAUAUAUUGAACCGCAUGGUUCAAUAGUGAAAGACGGUUUUGCUGUCACUUAUAGAUGGAUCCGCGCCGCAUUAGCUAGUUGGUAAGGUAACGGCUUACCAAGGCAACGAUGCGUAGCCGACCUGAGAGGGUGAUCGCCCACACUGGAACUGAGACACGGUCCAGACUCCUACGGGAGGCAGCAGUAGGGAAUCUUACGCAAUGGGCGAAAGCUUGACGGAGCAACGCCGCGUGAGUGAUGAAGGUCUUCGGAUCGUAAAACUCUGUUAUUAGGGAAGAACAAAUGUGUCAGUAACUAUGCACGUCUUGACGGUACCUAAUCAGAAAGCAACGGCUAACUACGUG